GACGAACGCUGGCGGCGUGCUUAACACAUGCAAGUCGAACGAAGAGCGAUGGAAGCUUGCUUCUAUCAAUCUUAGUGGCGAACGGGUGAGUAACGCGUAAUCAACCUGCCCUUCAGAGGGGGACAACAGUUGGAAACGACUGCUAAUACCGCAUACGAUCUAAUCUCGGCAUCGAGGAUAGAUGAAAGGUGGCCUCUAUUAUAAGCUAUCACUGAAGGAGGGGAUUGCGUCUGAUUAGCUAGUUGGAGGGGUAACGGCCCACCAAGGCGAUGAUCAGUAGCCGGUCUGAGAGGAUGAACGGCCACAUUGGGACUGAGACACGGCCCAGACUCCUACGGGAGGCAGCAGUGGGGAAUCUUCCGCAAUGGACGAAAGUCUGACGGAGCAACGCCGCGUGAGUGAUGACGGCCUUCGGGUUGUAAAGCUCUGUUAAUCGGGACGAAAGGCCUUCUUGCGAAUAGUGAGAAGG
rnacentral:rRNA from 1 species